CCUACGGGAGGCAGCAGUGGGGAAUAUUGCGCAAUGGGGGCAACCCUGACGCAGCAACGCCGCGUGUGUGAUGAAGGCCUUCGGGUCGUAAAGCACUGUGGGGUGGAACGAGCCGCCGAGGGUGAAUAUCCUUCGGCCCGACGGUACCACCAGAGGAAGCACCGGCUAACCCUGUGCCAGCAGCCGCGGUAAUACAGGGGGUGCAAGCGUUGUUCGGAAUUAUUGGGCGUAAAGCGCGUGUAGGCGGACCGCUAAGUCCGAUGUGAAAUCCCUCGGCUUAACUGAGGAAGUGCAUUGGAUACUGGCGGCCUUGAGUCCUGGAGAGGGUAGCGGAAUUCCCAGUGUAGAGGUGAAAUUCGUAGAUAUUGGGAGGAACACCGGUGGCGAAGGCGGCUACCUGGACAGUGACUGACGCUGAGACGCGAAAGCAUGGGUAGCAAACAGGAUUAGAUACCCUGGUAGUCCAUGCCGUAAACGAUGGGUGCUAGUUGGUGCGGGUAUUGACCCCUGCGCUGACGAAGCUAACGCGUUAAGCACCCCGCCUGGGGAGUACGGCCGCAAGGCUAAAACUCAAAGGAAUUGACGG
rnacentral:rRNA from 1 species